UGGUGGAGUGUCACGACUUGGUGGAGU
rnacentral:piRNA from 1 species